rnacentral:rRNA from 1 species
CAAUAGCGUAUAUUAAAGUUGUUGCAGUUAAAAAGCUCGUAGUUGGAUUUCUGGUGGGAGCGAUCGGUCUGGCGCUUAGCGCGAGUACUUGCAUCGUCUCCGGCCAUCCUUGGGGAGAGUCUGUCUGGCAUUAGGUUGUCGGGCAGAGGAUCCUCAUCGUUUACUGUGAAAAAAUUAGAGUGUUCAGAGCAGGCUUAUGCCGUUGAAUAUAUUAGCAUGGAAUAAUAAGAUAGGACUUUGGUACUAUUUUGUUGGUUUGCGCACCAAAGUAAUGAUUAAUAGGGACAGUUGGGGGUAUUCGUAUUCCGUUGUCAGAGGUGAAAUUCUUGGAUUUACGGAAGACGAACUACUGCGAAAGCAUUUACCAAGGAUGUUUUCAUUA